AGAAGAGUAUGAAACGCAGGGUAGCUUGGAGACACACAAAGCGCUUGGGGACCUCAUGGACUACAUCGAGAAACAUCCGGAGAAGUAUCAUUCCAUUAUUCAGAAUAAGCGUAAGGAGGAGUAUGAAAAUUCUUCAGGAUUCUCCUUUAUCAAGUCGAAGUUUCUCAGUGUGAUUGGUUUGGAGGACAUGCUGCCAUGUCAUGUGUCCCAGCAAGAGUGUAACCGCCAAAUUAAAGGGCUGAAACUCAGUAUGUCUCGUGCCUUCAAUUACGCCCAAG